UAUGUACUCCCUCCGUUCCAAAAUAGAUGACUCAAAACUGUGUACUAACUUUAGUAUAAAGUUAGUACAAAGUUGAGUCAUCUAUUUUGGAACGGAGGGAGUAGCUC
rfam:Triticum aestivum genome assembly, contig: Triticum_aestivum_CS42_TGACv1_scaffold_375114_5AL